rnacentral:rRNA from 1 species
AACGAACGCUGGCGGCAGGCCUAACACAUGCAAGUCGAACGCUCCGCAAGGGGAGUGGCGCACGGGUGAGUAACACGUGGGAACCUACCUUCUGGUACGGAACAACCAAGGGAAACUUUGGCUAGGACCGUAUACGACCUCCGGGUGAAAGAUUGAUCGCCGGAAGAGGGGCCCGCGUCCGAUUAGGUAGUUGGUGAGGUAACGGCUCACCAAGCCUUCGAUCGGUAGCUGGUCUGAGAGGANGACCAGCCACACUGGGACUGAGACACGGCCCAGACUCCUACGGGAGGCAGCAGUGGGGAAUAUUGGACAAUGGGCGCAAGCCUGAUCCAGCCAUGCCGCGUGAGUGAUGAAGGCCUUCGGUUGUUAA